rnacentral:rRNA from 1 species
UACGAAGGGUGCAAGCGUUAAUCGGAAUUACUGGGCGUAAAGCGUGCGUAGGCGGUUGGUUAAGUCUGUCGUGAAAGCCCUGGGCUCAACCUGGGAAUGGCGAUGGAUACUGGCGAGCUAGAGUGUGAUAGAGGAUGGCGGAAUUCCCGGUGUAGCGGUGAAAUGCGUAGAGAUCGGGAGGAACAUCCGUGGCGAAGGCGGCCAUCUGGAUCAACACUGACGCUGAGGCACGAAAGCGUGGGGAGCAAACAGG